UUGGAGGGCAAGUCUGGUGCCAGCAGCCGCGGUAAUUCCAGCUCCAAUAGCGUAUAUUAAAGUUGUUGCAGUUAAAAAGCUCGUAGUUGAAUUUCGGGGUUAGUAGGUUGGUCAUGCCUCUGGUAUGUACUGGUCUCACUGAUUCCUCCUUCCUGAUGAGCCGUAAUGCCAUUAAUUUGGUGUUGCGGGGAAUUUGGACUGUUACUUUGAAAAAAUUAGAGUGUUUAAAGCAAGCUAACGCUUGAAUACAUUAGCAUGGAAUAAUGAAAUAGGACGUUCGAUCCUAUUUUGUUGGUUUCUAGGAUUGACGUAAUGAUUAAUAGGGAUAGUUGGGGGCAUUAGUAUUCAAUUGUCAGAGGUGAAAUUCUUGGAUUUAUUGAAGACUAACUACUGCGAAAGCAUUUGCCAAGGAUGUUUUCAUUAAUCAAGAACGAAAGUUAGGGGAUCGAAGACGAUCAGAUACCGUCGUAGUCUUAACCAUAAACUAUGCCGACUAGGGAUCGGAUGAUGUUAAUUUUUUAAUGUCUCAUUCGGCGCCUUACGGGAAAC
rnacentral:rRNA from 1 species